rnacentral:lncRNA from 1 species
CUCUCUCUCAGGACUAGACCUAGCCGCCGCUCUCUCAAGUUUACAAGUUUGCCCAGAUCGGUGACCGGAGUACGGUGGCUCCUCUAGCACCGGCUUCGGUCCUCCUUUUGUUCUUUCCUUUCUUGGUUUUAGUUUUGUGUUAAUUAAAAGAAUCUUGUGGCCUUCGAUUGGGGUUUCGAUUUAGUUUGAUCGGUUUGUGAUUUUGGGUGUUUGUCGGAAGCGGUUUGAGUGUUUCAGAUUUGUGGUUCAGGGCUCUUGCGAAGAUGAUGGAGCCGGAUCUGAGAUCGACGGUGACGAGUAUGUAAUAAAGCCAUUGCUUUUCGCCUUCCCCAAAUCCAGAUCUGUUACUCGCUCUUGUGCUUCAUGGUGUUUUGAUGUCGCGUGCUUGGCUUGUGUGAGCUCUGUAGUUAGCUUUCAUCUUGCCUUAGCCUCUCCGCUCACCCUUAUUGCCUGGUUUAGCUAAUAGUUGCUCGUUUGGUUCGUCUCCUUUCUAAGAUAAGGCCUUUGUUGUGUGAAGUUAUGCUAGUGUCGUUUGGCUUCAGAUCUUUCUUCUCUUAGGUGGAAGUUACUGGUGAUGAUUUCCGUUGUAGAUGAGUGUCGUUUUUUUUCUUGAUUUCGAAGCUCAUCGAGGUGGUUAUGUUUCGCUCCUUGUCUCUGCGUUUCCGAAUCAGGAGGAUGUCGGAUUGCAUCUUUUUGACUUCUAUCAAGGCGUUCUUUGACGCACCCUCGUCGCAGCCGCAUUUGGAAGUGUUUAAUGAGGAUCUAUUUGGACCUUUACUUGUCAGAUUAUGAAGUCAUUGUUACUUGGUUUCGAGAGAUCUUCUCUCAUUGUGAUAGGAGGAAGCAGUUGUGAUUAAUGGUUGGCCUUGGGCAGCAUUGAUAUAGCUCAUUCGCAGAAACUUCAGAAGAAGAAGAUCGAUUUGGUUAUUUUGACUUAGUGUUUAUCUUCUUGUUUAUUUUUAGUUUGCCUCUUUUCUUAGUUUUUGGUUUCGUUCUCUUUCGAUUUCGGCUUUAAAAGUUUAUGUUGUUUUUAGCGUAGACUUAGAUUUUGGGGAAUUCUCUUUUUUCUCCGACUUUGUCUUCGGGGACUUUUCCUUUGUCCGCCGGCUUAGCUUCCCUCUUUUGGGCUUUAGACUCCGGGGAUAUCUUUGUUUUCCGCCGGCUUAAGUAUUUCACCUUGCUCGAAAUCUUACAUUUUUCCUACUUAACUAAUAGAUAACCUACCCAAGUUAAAUGUCUUAACCACAUUUAUCUAUACAAAACAGACAAGCUACAUCCUUGGAUAAAAAAAAUAACAAGCCACAACUUUUAAACAACAUAUACAAAUUCUCUCUUUAUGGUUGUACUUGUAUAGUCAUAGAUUUUAUUAGACCAAGAUGAUUGAAAAUUGUAGAUAAAAGGCCUUUUGAAAUACUUAAACUUUGUUAUCAUCAGAGUCGUUAUUGAUAGCAAUUUUGGCAAAUGAAAACUCAGGUUUAUAGUGAGGAGUACGGUUUCCUUGAACCACCUUUCAUUAGACUUGUAGAAGAAGCACAUGAUCCAGCUUCCUUCUUCUUUUCACCCAUCUAAUUCUGGAUUUCUUCUUCGACAUGUAAUAUAUUCAUUUAUUCAAAGUUUAAAUAUUGUCAAACCAAAGCUACUUUUACUUAGUCCAUUUAAAUAGAAUCUUAUUAGGGAAUUUAAAUUGUUACGUUAGUAACGCAACGGAAGAGAAAAACUUAGGAUACCUGGACUUAUCAGCAAUUUCAAUGGACUUAUAAAAAGCCAUUUGAAUUUGAGAUAUUUUUUUUGUUAUAGAUAAACAAAUUACCUAAAACUAACCAAUCCAAGUUAAUGUGAACAUGGCUUACAUGAUAAUAAAAGAUUGUUAAUAUAUAUAGUAUAAUCUGAAAACUAAGCAAUCCAAGUUAUACAAUCAUGUUUUUAAAGUAACAGAUGGUCAAUCCAAAAAAAUUUCCUAAUCAGAUUGUAUUCAUCGAUGGUAUAUAUAUUUUUUUUUUCAUCGAUGGUAUUUACAGGCCAUGGAUUAACACCAAUUCAUUAAACUGUACAACAAAUUACGACUUAUUUAGAAUGGUAAGUUCUAUAUAUUUACCCAUCAAUUUAACAACCUUAUCUUCUUCUGCGGGUGAAUAAUGUUAAAUUGAUAGAUAUCUCCAUAAAAGAAAUAUAUUUAUGAACUUUCGCAUGUGACUUGAUCUGAUCUGUGAAACGUUGCCCACGUGUAUUGUUUAGGUAUUCGUACUAUAUUGAGAAAGGGGUCGCAUAUGUAUAAGUCAAGCAAAGCUAUGGGUCAAGUCAUAUUAUUUUAUGUUGCGAAAGGAAAUGUGAAUGUGAACAUGACUUACAUGAUAAUAAUGGUGAUACAUUUAUAAUAAUUUUAUUUAUUAGCUAAAUAAACCAAGUAGUUGGAACGUUGCUUCCAUGACUUCUUUUAUCUGACGACGACUUCAACCAAAUUUCCCCAUUUUCAAUAAUCCUAUACAGAACUUAUCUUUAUAUUAACUUCUUCUGGACUUUUAAAUUCAAGAUAUUUAUCUGUAGAUUCGAUCGUGCUUCCAGCUUUAAUAAAUAAAUAGUUUUGACGUCCUGAUUUUUCCUAAUAAGGUAAAAAAAAAAAAUCCAUCGUCCUUGCUCGCGAUCUUACAUUUUUCCUACUUAACUAUUCCCUCCGUUUCAGUUUAGUUGUCGUUUUAGGAUUUAAAUUUUGUUUCAUAAUAGUUGUCGUUUUAGGUUUUCAAUGCAAAUAUUUGGUAAAAAUUCCAGUUUUAUCCCUACAGUUUUAAUGUUUUGGCCAAUGAAAUUUUUUAUAAAAUAUAUUAAUAAAGAGUAAAACAGAAAAUUUAAUACUUUCUUAAUUUGUGUGAAAAAACCUUAAACGACAACUAAAACGAAACGGAGGGAGUAAUAGAUAACCUACCCAAGUUAAAUUUCUUAACCACAUUUAUCUAUACAAAACAGACAAGCUACAUCCUUGGAUAAAAAAAUAACUAGCCACAACUUUUAAACAACAUAUACAAAUUCUCUCUUUAUGGUCAUAUAGAUUUUAUUAGACCAAGAUGAUUGAAAAUUGUAGCGCCCUUUUAAGUAGAUAAAAGGCCUUUUGAAAUGCUUAAACUUUGUUAUCAUCAGAGUCGUUAUUGAUAGCAAUUUUGGCAAAUGAAAACUCAGGUUUAGUGAGGACUACGGUUUUCUUGAACCACCUUUCAUUAGACUUGUAGAAGAAGCACAUGAUCCAGCUUCCUUCUUCUUUUCACCCAUCUAAUUCUGGAUUUCUUCUUCGACAUGUAAUAUAUUCAUUUAUACAAAGUUUAAAUAUUGUCCAACCAAAGCUACUUUUACUUAGUCCAUUUAAAUAAAAUCUUAUUAGGGAAUUUAAAUUGUUACGUUAGUAACGCAACGGAAGAGAAAAACUUAGGAUACCUGGACUUAUCAGCAAUUUCAAUGGACUUAUAAAAAGCCAUUUGAAUUUGAGAUAUUUUUUUUGUUAUAGAUGAACAAAUUACCUUUAGGAGUUAUAAAAAAACAAUGACUAAUAGGCUUUUUAUUUUUUAUUGGGCUUUUGCAUAUAUCUAUGUUUACCAAUACUUUCCAGCCCAUGCAUUAAUUGUUUCUUCAAUAGAAAAAUGUUUUACUACUUUGGGUUUUUGGAGCUAAGUAUAGCUGUAUAGGCCAUUCCACGGUCGAUCGAUAACUUCCCAGCAAUUUGAACCAGUUCGCAUGUUACCCGACCUAGCUCGUUUGCACUCUAUAUAAGCUUUUCUCAUUUCAGACCUUUUCAAUCAAUCUUGCUCCUCUGCUUCUCCGCUCUACGAAAUCAUGCUCGGCAUUAGCUACGGUUGGACCAUUUUUAUACGGAGCACAAUGCAUUUUCCCCUACAGCAUUUCACAACGCUCACCUAAGCACUUCUCAUGAGGUAAAACGUACAUGUGUGAAGAUAACAAAUUUGAAUGAAGGAUAAAAAAAAAUUAAGCAAAAUAAAAUUGUGGGGAGUGUCUUUCCUCAAAUGGUUAAAGGUCCACAUUCUUCCUAUUGAAAAUUCGACUCCAAUAAAUCACGUUACUCCGCGUAUUAGGGAUUAAGUUAUUGGUUGGGUAUUCUCGACCCAAAUAACAGAAAGAAAAAAAAAAAAAGGUAAAAUUGUUUUACCAUGGCAUACCAUAAAUCUCCUCAUCGGAUCCGGUCCAUAUUUUGUUUCUCAAAAAAAUAGUACCAAUAAUGUUAGGCAAUGGGUCGAUAUAAUGUCAUUUUCAGUGGGAAUUGAUUUAAGAGCAUGGCCACAUGCUACUUUAAUCAUAUCUUUAAGAGGGAAAUAAUGAAGAAAAUAGAAUUGAUGGGUCCAAGUUUCAUGUGACUGGAGAAGAAUGAAGGAGCGCAAGAAGGAUCAUAGAAAAGAAAUAGUCUGGCUGAAUCAAACUUUAUUGUAAAAGGGGUUCACAAAAGAUGAGCUGACACAAAUCCAUGCACCAUGUUUCUCUUUCCAUUGGAUUUUUUUUUCCUCUCAGAUCUUCUUCCCAAAAAAAAGAAGAUCUGUAUACCUUUUCUUAGGGACCUUAGGGUUGAGUGAUUAGCAUAUUCAAAUCUAACUUGAAAUGAAAGAAAUUACCAAGUCAACUGAAUCCACUUUGGUAUGAUUUAAGAUUGGUUUAUAGGUUCAAUUUGGUUCGGUCAAAUUGAUUUGAUCAUUGUAAUAAGAAUCUUAAAAUAGGAUUAUCAAAUCGUGUAGUUUCCUUUGGAUCAAUAUUCCAUGGAAUUUAUUCACGUUUUUUGGUCGAGGAAAAUUAAUCCAAAAUCUACCAUCAUUUUGAUUUUGAUAUAACGAACUCAUUUUCUUAUAUUGACGAAAUUCGCCUACCAGUCUUUGAUAGAAUCAUAUCGAUUUGAUCAAAUACAUGCAUGCAUAUGGAGAAAAUUAACAAACAAAACAAAUGUGAGGUUAUUUUCAGUUCUUGUGGGUACACAAUGUAGGACAUCGCAAAUGAGACUUGAGAGUACCUAAAUGAAUCAUUUUUCUUCAUCACAUACAUACUACAAGAAAAUAAACAAUACCAUCACCGUGAGCAAUAUUUAUGUCGCCAUAUAAUCUUUAAUAUGUUUCCAAAUAAAUUGAAGAUAGCAAUACAUAUGGUGAUAGACAACGACGGAACCAACCAUUCACGUGCUAAUUUUUUUUGUCACCAUCGAUGAGAGAGAUGAUCAGAUGAACAGUACUAUUUUUCUCACUAAUGGUAAGACCUUACGUCAAGAUUAUUCGGUAGGGAAAAUCAGAUAUGCAACGUUUUUGAAUAUCAAAGAGAAGUCGGAAAAAAAAAUGACUUCUUUGUAUAUAUCAAUCACAUCGAACGUGAGACUAAACCACUUACCACGCUUAUAAGUUUCUUACUUAUAACAAUAAUGUUUCACUUGUGCUUUUAACAAAAAAUAAACAACAAUGUUUCAAAAAAAAAGUUGUGAUCCGAUUUAGUAGGUACGGUGAUGUAUGCGUUUUUAUCAAUUAAUAAUCUAAAUGCAUCAACGAUCUAUCGCGAAAGUAUUUUAGAUGUCGAACCACAAGGAAUAAAGAUUGCAACACUAAAGAUGCGAGAUUCAAACUAAUCUAGAGGAAAUGAUUUUUAGGUUUUUGUUUUGAUGAAAAGAUAAGAAAUCCAAGAAGUAAAAUAAAGAAAAAGCAUUGGACCAUGGGUUUAACUAUCAUGAGAAUUGAUUAACAUUCAAACAAUGAUGCAAGAGGUUGAAUUAAGCACCAUCCUAGAACAUGAAACUCACAAUUAUGAUAAAUCCACUUCCAUGGUACUAAUCACUUCACUAAUCAUAUAAUCAUCAACAACUUCCGUUCCCAAUCAAAUGACCAAUGAGCAUUAAAAACAAGUCCAAUUAGUUCACUAAACACUCUAUUCAUCAACUCCCGUUGGCUAGAUAUGUAAAGCUCAUAAAGGUUUGGUUCAAGCAUUUUCACAAACACCUUCCGGGCAUGAAUUGCAUAAGGUCUAGAUUUUGAGUGAUCAAGUCAAAACUAGCAUUAAGAGCAACCUAGAUGAAGGAUCUAACAAUAAGCAGCCUAAAUCAUCAUCAUCUAACCAUCAAAUUAUCCUAAUCUAGCAUAACCCAUUAUCCAACAAAAAGACUAGCUACUAAACAUGGUGAAAGAUAAAAAAAAAAUGCGUAACAUAAAGAUACAAGAUAAAGAUGAAGAAUCCUUCACUAAAGUGGCAUGAAUUGUUGAAGAUCAAUCCAAAAUAUCAAGAAGAGAGUUUGGAUCCUAAUCCAACUCUAGAGAAGAAAACUUAGGUUACAAAAUGUCUAAAAAUUGCUUAAAUACAAAAUAGAAUCGAACCGGAUUGACCCGAGAUAAACCGGGUCAAACCCAAAAAUUUGCAAAGGCUUCUAUAGAUGCAUAGGUCGAUUGCUCCCUCGAUUGCUUCUCGUCUGCAGCCUGUUAUCGUCCCAAUCGACCAUUAAAUCGACCAACAGGUCGAUUGAAAUGUUCAGUGACUCCUCCUUUGUUCUUUUCCGCGCCUGAGUGAUAUAUCUCUAUUAAAACCACCAUAAUUCUUGCAUCGAAGCUCUGAUUCGCUUGAAAUCACCUCCGUUGGAAAUAUAACUCAAUUUCCUAUAACUUGUAUGAAGAGUUCUGAAGCUAAAUCAUCAAUUCUCUUCUUUGCAUCCAAAUGUGUGUCGUCCAUUAUUUUAACCUGAAAUUGCUCAAAAGACACACAAAACACACCAAAAGACACACAAAGACACUAUAGGACUUUUAAAAUGGAAGAAGACUCACUUGGACACUAAAUGCAACAAAACACAAUUAAAAUAUUAAUGAAACACAAUAAAAUGGAUCUUAACAACAACGAUAAAGCGGUAAAUAUAAAGUAUAUCAUAUGGCUAGAACAGCAUCGCUAGUGUUUGGAUAGAAAAAAUAAAUGUUCGAUUUAAACGUGUUGAACUCUUCAGAUAUCCCAAAUUCCCAAUCCUAUAAAUAUUGUUGGUAUGGUCCAUGUGGUUACAACAAAACGGUCAAAAUAUCAAGUAUAUAGUAGUUAAAAAAUGGCUGAUGAAGUUAUUAGAUAUAUUCCAUUACAGUUUUUUUAUCAGUUAAAUCAACUGAAACAAAGUUCUUAGAAUUGUUUUUUUUCUAGAUUAGUCAUAUAUUUAGAAUUUGUGUGGUACGCCCUAGCUAGCUGGUGCGGCUAUGCAUUACAGCUACACAAGUUAUUUUUUUCGGUGAAUGAGAACACAGACAUGCAAAUCCACUUAAAGUCAAAACUAUUCGAAACCUAAAAUUUCGGACAGUAAAUUCGAAAUACAAAUUAUAACCUGACAAAACAUGUAAGUUGUCAAAGACUAGUUGAAAAACAAAUGAAAACCAAGCAAAAAAAUUGUUUAAAUUCAGAGACAAAUAGUCAUAUAGGUAAUGUCAGAAGCAGACAGAAGAUUGUACAUUGAAAUCAAGCACAGCAAAAAGCAUUAUUGUUCACACACAUGUGUACAGACAUACACACGUGUACAUUCACACGUGCACACAUACAUAGGAAUCUCCACCUCUAUAUAAGAAAUGCUUCAACAUAAGUAUACUUGUAAGUGUGUGAAGCUUAAGUAAUAAAAUUAAUGGCAACUUCAGGGUUUAAGCAUUUGGUGGUUGUGAAGUUUAAGGAAGAUGCUAAGGUUGAUGAGAUCUUGGAGGGCUUGGAGAAUCUUGUUUCUCAGAUUGAUACUGUCAAAUCCUUUGAAUGGUUUGUGAUCAUUGUUUUUUUUUUUCUUUCUAUAAUUAAAAUAAUAUUUUGGAUCUCUAGCUAGUUAAUGACCGUACGAUUUGAUGAUAACUAGGGGAGAAGAUAAAGAGAGUCACGAGAUGCUUAGACAAGGAUUCACUCACGCAUUUUCAAUGACCUUUGAGAACAAAGAUGGUUACGUUGCCUUUACAAGCCAUCCUCUUCACGUUGAAUUCUCAGCCGCUUUCACCGCCGUUAUCGACAAGAUUGUUCUCCUGGAUUUCCCGGUCGCCGCCGUCAAAUCUUCCGUUGUUGUAACACCUUGAAUCUUGUGUUCAUAUCGAACUUGUUUCCUAAUGUAAACGAGGUUUGAGUUGUUUGGUUAUGUAACUCGGUUGGUUAAGUAUGUUUUGGUUUGAUUUGUUUAGUUUCGGUUUUUGAUAAUAAGAAUCUGGUUUUGUUGGAACUUGGAAGUUUAUGAUUUCUUUUAUAAGUAAGUGUUUUCUUAAAGUGAAAAUGGUAAUACUGAAUUAUGUUUUCAUGUGAGUAAUGUGUCUCUUUUUGCUUCAAAUAUAAUUUAUCAGAAUAAACAAAUAGAAAAUAUGAAACUUUACAUUAUAAAAUUUUGGGAAAACCAAUUAAUAAUCAACAAAUAGUUUGUUAUUUCCAUAAAUAUGCAUAAACGGUUUGAGAUUCUAUAUUAAAAUACACGAAAAAUAAAAACAUUUUUAUAAUACACUCAUCAUAUUGCAUGUGUUUUACACAUUCAACUGAAACAAAAAUUAGAUGUAAUUGGAAAUAUCAUUAACAAACAAAAGAAACAACUACAAAACGACGCCGCAUUUAGAUCCUUUUUUUGGUUAACCUUUAAUAACGGACAAUUUGUAGUCUUUGAACCAGAGAAAUUAUUAAGGCCCAUCAGCCCAAAUAAAAAUAUCAAAAGUUUUUGUUCUGUUCCUCGAGUCAUGUUUGCAUCGCACGCGACUCUUCGUCGGAUCUUCCCAACACACAAAACCCUUAACUCUUUUCACUUUUUAUUGAUUUUCUCGGUCUUUGUACGCGCAAAAUCGAGAUUCUGAUUAUCUGUCACUGAAAUUCGGAAGAAUUCGAGGUCUUCACUGCCAGUAAAUUUGAUGGAGGAAAGGGAAGCGAAAAGAAUAUGCCUCGAACGGCGGGCAGGUUUCUCAAGAGCAAAAGAGGAUCUGAUAAGCAAAUUACCCGACUCUUUGAUAACUCAGAUACUCUUGUAUCUCCCGAUAAAGAAAGCUGUUAGGACUUGUGUUUUGUCCAAGAGGUGGGAAAGUAUCUGGCUUUCGAUUCCCUGGUUGGAUUUAGACUCUGAAGAGUUCCCAAAUUACAAAGCCUUUGUGAUUUUUAUGGACAGAUUCGUAGAUUUCUCUAGGGAACAGAAAUCAUGCUUGCACAAGCUCAAGCUAAGUAUUCAGAAGAUUUGGAGUGAUCAGUAUCGUAUCACGCGAUGGAUAGACUUUGUUGCUACACGUAAACUUCAGCAUCUUGAUGUUGAGUGUCUUUUUGUGAAGCGUGAGUGUUUUGAAGUGAUGCCCUUAAGCCUUUAUAUCUGUGAGACGCUUAUUACCCUAAGACUUCAUCGGAUAUAUUUGGAUAGUUUUGAGUCUGUUUCAUUACCUCGUCUCAAGACUAUGCAUUUAGAACUCAAUGUAUAUGACAAUGAUGCGGGUCUGGAGUCACUCAUUUCAUCUUGCCCAGUUCUUGAAGAUUUGAGCAUUGUUAGAAGUGUGGAUUACAAUGAUAAUGUGAACGUUUUACGAGUGCAUUCUCAAACAUUGACAAGUCUAAGUGUAGAAUUUGAUCUUGGUGAGUGGGGUCUAGGGCUUUUCUGUUUUGGUCAAAGAGACCUGGGGCUUUGGAUUGAUGCCCCUAGACUCAAGUAUUUGAAUUUCAAACAUGAACUAUCGGAUAGUAAAACCGUAAGCAAUUUGAAUUCCUUAGUUAAGGUCAAUUUUGUUGGCUCCUUUCGUAUCUCUGAUGGAGGUCGCUUAUCAAAGCAACAAAUGGCCCGUAACUUUUUCAUCGGUAUCUCGAAAGUUAGGGAUCUGAACAUCUCUGCACAUAUUCUUGAGGUAUGUUUCUAAUGAACUUUCAUAUUAUAUGUAAUGCUAUUUAACGAAAUUUUGCUCAGCCAUACUCUUCUCUUCUUCGUUUUUAUAUGAGCAGCUAAUCAAUUGCUACUUGAAAGUAGAACCAUUACCCCAAUUUUUCAACCUGUCCUAUUUGGAAGCAGAAUUUUGUUCAUCCGAUGUGAAGAUUCUUGAAUCCUUGCAAACGCUUCUUGAAAGCUGUCCAAAUCUAAAAUCCAUCGUCUUGGUAAUGACUUGUACCAACCCUAGAGCUUUAACUUAAUUAUACAUUUAAAGAAAUAUGUUAUCUAGUAUAUUAAUUCAUCUUAUUUUGUAGGAUUUAACUGAUUCUACUACGGUCGAUACGAGCCAAACAAGAGUCCCUUUUGUGCCUCAGUGUUUGUUGUCAUCGCUCGAGUUUGUAGAUAUAAGAGGAAAAUUCAUGGCAGAGCCUGUUGCAGUGGAACUAGCAAGGUACUUUGUAGAAAACUCAGUAAUCCUCAAGAAAAUUGUUAUGCGUUUGGGAUAUUUCAUGCCAGGAGAAGAAGAUUCCGUCGCCUUAAAGGAUCUCCUUGCAACUCCAAGGCGUUCUAGCACGUGUCAAAUCGAAGUUUGUGAACCGCUAAAUUUUUUUGAUUAUGUUGAUUUCUUUUAAUCGUCAUCGUGAGCUUCGGCUACACUGAGGCCAAACUGUUUUUAUGUAAUAAGUGACUAAAUUAAAGUUGGGACAUAAAAUAAUUGUGAUUCUCUGUAUUACGAGAAGACUCUUUAUAUAUCCCUCCUGCGCUUCACCAAAGGGUUGAUAUCUUCAACUAUCAUACUCUCUCAUCUCCUCAGCGCAUCAAGAAAGACCUUUUACUCCUUAAUUAAGAGGCAGAAAACAAUAUACGAGCUGUAGAAAGAAAGAAUCGUCGUUUUUACAAUUCUUCAAGUUACACAACAAGAGCCCCAGCCUAAUAAUUUUUAGCCUAGGGCAAAACAAAGGUUUUUGGGCCUUCAAUAAAUUUAUACAAAAAUAUAAUGAUAUUUGGAUCUCAUUUAGAUUAAAAAUUUAAUUAUUUGGGGUCUAAUUUACAUAAUUUUCUUUGAAAAAGCUUUUGUUUCUAUCAAAUAUAUUGUUUUGUGGACUUAAUUGUUUAUUUUUCCUUUAGAAUACACUUUUUUAUAAUAAAAAAAAAAAAAAAAAACCUUUUUGAAAUAGUGAUAAGUCCAUUGGCUGCUGCCUCUCCGUACUACCCAUUUGGGCCGGACCUGCACAUCAAUUCAGGUCUUCAACACAAAUGAUGGUACUACUAAGAACAGAACUUCAUCCUUUAGUCAAUUGAUCCAAGAUUGGCUUCACAACUUCUUAAAAACUGGUUCAAUGAUAUAUAUAUAUAUAUAUACAAGUCCAAGGUGCUUAAACUACCAAAGGUUAACUUUGAAUAUUUUAAUUAUAAAAAUUAUACAACUCACAAAGAUUCUUUGUUGAGAUUGAUGAUGUUUCUUGUUUUCAAAGACUUAUUCUUUUUGAACAUUGUGCAUUUUCUUUUAGUUAAUCGAAAAUAAUUAUAAAAAAUCAACGAUUUAUGUACUUUUAUCGAAAUAAUUGAUUAGUGAGUUUAACCAGAAAAAUUAUUUAAAAUUGGGAAAGAAAGAAAUUAUUGGGCCUUUUGACCCAAUUAAAGAAACGAUUAACCAUUAGCGAGGGAAACAAUCGAGUAUGGAAAAAAAAAGAAAAUAACAGAUUUGAUAAUCCCUUAGCAAAUAAGUUUUUAAGAAAAAUUAAAGACUAGGUCAUAAUUUGCUUUCAUAGUUUUGUUGUUCUUUAUCAUAAUUGAUAAUUUUAGAUAACUUUUUAUCAUGUUUAUAUGAUCUCUUAUGUUUGUAUGAUCUAAACGUAAUAAAUGAAAAAUGUUACUGUAAAAAUCAACGAAAGAUAAGCUCUUAAGUGUCAUUUGACAAGUGUAAUCGAGUUAAAAAGGUGCCCAAAUUGUUUGUUUAGUAGUACCAUCAUUUGUGCCAAUCUUGACCCAAAGAUCAUUAUCUCGUUACAUCGCAAGCUACUCUCCGGAUCUCCCAACGCACGAACCCUUGCUAGAUCCAUCUGGUAAUAUAAUAUCACCUUCUUCUUCCUCACUCAAUUCUGGAUUUGUUUACGUUUAUUCUCGGUUCAUGAUGAUUUGUUUGCGUUAGAUUUCUAGGUUUUGCGAGAGGAUCCGAUGGAGGCAAAGAACGAGAAAAGAAUAUGCCUCGAACGGCCUGCAAGGGAAGAUCUGAUAAGCAAAUUACCCGAUGCUUUGAUAUCUCAGAUACUCUCGUAUCUUCCGACAAAGGAUAUUGUCAGGACUAGUGUUUUGUCCAAGAGGUGGAAAAGAGUCUGGCUUUUGAUUCCCGGGUUGGAUUUGGACUCUUAUGAGUUCCCAGAUUACAAUACCUUUGUGAGUUUUGUGAACAAGUUCCUAGAUUUCUCUAGGGAACAGAAGUCAUGCUUGCACAAGCUCAAGCUAGAUAUUCACAAGGAUCAUGAGAAUGAUCAGUCUUGUGCCACGCCUUGGAUAGACUUUGUUGCUAGGGGUAACCUUACACAUCUUGAUGUUGAAUUUGGUGGUUAUGCACUGUGGCGUGAGUUUUGGGAAAUGAUGCCCGUAAGCCUCUAUAUCUGUGAGACGCUCCUUCACUUAAGACUCUAUCGGGUGUUGAUGGGUAACUUUGAGUCUGUUUCUUUACCUCGUCUUAAGACUUUGUGUUUAGAACGAAAUAUAUAUCCUAAUGAGGCGAGUGUGGAGUCGCUUAUCUCGUCUUGCCCCGUCCUCGAAGAUUUGACCAUUGUUAGGAUGAAUGAUAAUGUAAAGGUUUUACGAGUGUAUUCUCAAUCAUUAACCAGUUUUAGUGUAGGAUAUAAUCCUGGUGACUUAAUUCGUAAGUACAAUUAUUAUUCUGAAAAAGUUAGAGAGAACUCGGGGCUUGUGAUUGAUGCACCUAGACUCAAGUAUUUGACUUUCAACUACGAAAGAUCGAAAAGUAAAAUCGUAAGAAAUUUGAGUUCUUUAGUUAAGGUCAACGUUCUUAGCGCCUUUGAUAUUUCAAGUGUAGUUGGCUGUUCAGAGCAACAAAUGGCCCAUAAUUUUUUCACCGGUAUCUCGAGAGUUAGGGAAAUGAUCAUCUCUCAGAAUAUGAUGGAGGUAAGUUUCUAUGAACUUCAUAUUAUAUAUAUUCUGCUAUAUAGAACAUUUGCUAACCCAUAGUCUUCUCUUCGUUUCCUUUUUGCAAGUAGAGAAUAUUUUCCUACUUGAGUGUAGAUUCAUUGCCACAGUUUUGCAACUUGUCCUAUUUGAAAGGAAACGUUUGUUCAACAUCCGUGACAUUCCUGGACGUCUUUACAAAGCUUCUUGAAAGCUGUCCGAAUUUAAAAUCCAUCGUCUUGGUAAUGACUUGCACCAAGUCACCAACCCUAGAGUUUCAAAUUAAUCAUGCAAUUAGAGAAAUCUUGUUAUAACCAGUAUAUUAACUCAUCUUAUGUAUUUUGUAGGUUUUAACUUGUUUUACUGAUUAUACGGACGAAAUGGUUGAAAUGAGAGUCUGGUCCGUGCCUAAGUGUUUGUUGUCAUCGCUCGAGUUUGUAGAGAUAAAAAACGAAUACGAAGCAGAUGAUGGUGUGUUGGAAGUUGCAAGGUACUUUGUAGAGAACUCUAUAAAUCUCAAGAAACUUGUUCUGCAUUUGCAAUAUUCCUUUCUAAAACAAGGAAAUCCAGCUAUCUUAAAGGAUCUCAUUGCAUUGCCGAGGCGAUCUAGCAUGUGUCAAAUCGAAGUUUUCAAUGUGCAUAACGGCCGUGCUCUUGGAAUCUUUUGAUGUUCUUGAAUUCUAUUAAGAUGCCAUUGUGAGCUUCGGCCACAAUAUUUUAGAAUUCGCAUUUUUUUUUUUAUGUAAUGACUAAAAAUUGGGAGAUAUGUACAAAGAUUUGUGAUUCUCUCUCAAGUGCCGGAUCUAGCAUAUUCUUCUGUUAACUCUAAAAGAUUUGUGUAUUUUUCUAGUAUUUCAUAUAUAGUUGCCUAGUUGGUUUUUUUUUUUUUUUUUGCCAAUACUGUGCCUAGUUGGUUUGUUUUUAGAGGAUUUUAUUUUUGCUAUUAUCUUCUUCUUUUCUCAUUGAAGCAAAUAUUUCAAAAUUGAAUUAAUCUAGUGGACACUGAACCUAUGUACGGACCAUCUUCCUGGACUACCGUUGUAAUAGCUGAGCCAUUCUUUUAGUGAGGUAAAGGUAGUUAAAAAUCAUCUACUCUUUAUCCUUCCUAUGCUUCGCCAAUGGGUUCAUACCUUCAACUACCUUACUCUCCUAUCU